rnacentral:rRNA from 1 species
UGCCUAAUGUUUAAAACCCAUACUAGGUUCAUCCUGCCCAGUGAUAUUAUUCAACGGCCGCGGUAUCCUGACCGUGCAAAGGUAGCAUAAUCAUUUGCCCUUUAAUUAAGGGCUAGAAUGAAUGGACAAACGAAAAUUUCCCUGUCUCUAUUAAAACCCUAUAACUUAACCUUUAGGUGAAGAGGCCUAAAUAAAUAUAUAAGACAAGAAGACCCUGUCGAGCUUUAUCAUCCACCUAACUACAAUAAAAAAUAUACUCAAGACAAAGAUUUUGUUGGGGCGACAAAGGAAUAAACUAAAACUCCUAAAAACUUAAGAUAUCACUUCUAUCUAACGACCCAUAUUUUAUGAUCACAGAAACUAGCUACCGCAGGGAUAACAGUCUAAUUUUCCCCAAGAGCCCAAAUCUAAUGGAAAGAUUAUCACCUCGAUGUUGGCUUAGGGAUUCUUCUAAGUGCAGCCACUUAAAAAGAAGGUUUGUUCAACCUUUAAACC